GCCACGUAGGAUUAGCCAGUAUCGGCAAAAUGUCACUGGCACGUUGCGCGGUGGCGGUGGGUCGCGGGCCGCGGCUCCUGUCAUUCGUAGCCCAGCUGCUCGCACCGGGGGUCGGAGUUGCGACUCUGCGCCGCGUCAGUGCGUCCGUUCCCGCUCAGUUCUGCAGCGCCGCGGCCCCGUGCGCGCUCCCCAACAUGUUCACCGCCGAGGAGCGCGGCUCCGCGUACGCGCCCGACUACCGGGUCUUCUUCCGUGAUGAAAGCGGCCCCAUCUCCCCGCUGCACGACAUCCCACUGUGGGCCAACAAGGCCGAACGCCUCGUCAACAUGGUUGUGGAGGUCCCGCGCUGGAGCAACGCCAAGAUGGAGUUGUCGCUGGGCGAGGCGCUCAACCCCAUCAAGCAGGACGUGAAGAAGGGCGCGCUGCGCUUCGUGGCCAACGUGUUCCCGCACCACGGCUACAUCUGGAACUACGGAGCCCUACCGCAGACGUGGGAGAACCCGUCGCACGUGGACCCCGCGACGCAGGCGCGCGGAGACAACGACCCCAUCGACGUGAUCGAGAUCGGCACCCGCGUGGCGGGUCGCGGCGACGUCGUGCCCGUCAAGAUCCUCGGCACGCUGGCGCUCAUCGACGAGGGCGAGACCGACUGGAAGCUGAUCGCUAUCGACUCCCGGGACCCGCUGGCCGCGUCCCUGCGCGACGCGGGCGACGUGGAGCGGGCGUUCCCCGGGCUGCUGAAGGCCACGGUGGAGUGGUUCCGCCUGUACAAGGUGCCCGACGGCAAGCCGCAGAACCGGUUCGCCUUCGACGCCGAGCCCAAGGACGGGGAGUUCGCCUACAAGCUCAUCGACGAGGUGCACGAGUUCUGGCGCGAGCUGGUGGCCGGCCACGUGGGCGACGCCACCGACAUCAACAAAAUGAACGUGUCAGUUGCGGGAAGCCCGGGGCAGGUGGAGCGGUCGGAGGCGGCCGCCGUGCUGGCCAAGGCGCCGCCACGUUCCCUGCCGCAGUCCGUCCCGCCCGGCGUGGACAAGUGGCACUUCCUCGCCAACCUGUAGCAGCCUGUGGGAUCCUGUUGGAGCCUGUGGGAGCCUGUAGACUCCCGUCGGAGCCUGUAGACUCCCCUCGUAUGUUACGGAGCCGCGAGAGUCCGGUGACGGGACCGUCGAGUUGUGAUUAUCUUAUUGUUUAAGUGCAAAUGGUAGGGUGUUGUUAAUGCGUAUUUAUUAUAAUUAAUCAAAAUAUUUUG